rnacentral:rRNA from 1 species
CCUACGGGAGGCAGCAGUGGGGAAUAUUGGGCAAUGGGCGCAAGCCUGACCCAGCAACGCCGCGUGAAGGAAGAAGGCUUUCGGGUUGUAAACUUCUUUUAAGAGGGAAGAGCAGAAGACGGUACCUCUUGAAUAAGCCACGGCUAACUACGUGCCAGCAGCCGCGGUAAGACGUAGGUGGCAAGCGUUGUCCGGAUUUACUGGGUGAAAAGGGCGUGCAGCCGGGAAGACAAGUCAGAUGUGAAAUCCCGCGGCUCAACCGCGGAACUGCAUUUGAAACUGUUUUUCUUGAGUACCGGAGAGGUCAUCGGAAUUCCUGGUGUAGCGGGGAAAUGGGUAGAUAUAAGGAAGAAAACCGGUGGCGAAGGCGGAUGACUGGACGGCAACUGACGGUGAGGAGCGAGAGCGUGGGGAGGAAACAGGAUUAGAUCCCCAGUAGUC